UCUAAAAGGGAGAGAGCGUGCGAAUAGGCUGGCCAGGCGAAGUGGGGGCAGGUAGUGUUGUAAACGGCGAAUUGGACCAGACAUAAGGGACUGACAAGUAGGGAAACAGUAAACUGUUACAUUGGUAGAGUAUUAACUCUGUGACCAAAGAAGGUAUAAAAAAAGAACUAAAACAGAACAGCCAUAGCAACUUACUUCAGCAGAGAUCAAGAGAUGAACUCGUACCACGACAACUACCUUAACAGUAUCGCCUCAGGUGUCGACAGGAUUGGACGAACUAGCGUAGAACACCUCAGUUUUACAACACUCCCACGCGGACAAUCCGUCGACAACUAACCCUACUCAUAGCCAGCAGUCCAAACAGAUCCGUUUACCCAGCAACGCAAUCAAAUGCAAAGCACGGGUACUCCCACGUUCACUAAAGCCACAUAGAGCAACCCAACAGUGUGCUAAGCAAGGUGACGCACUCCCACGGGCGUUUAAACUCCGCACGCGCGCACUCAUACUCGGUUUGACAAAUCACGCAUGGUUCCCAUGAAACAACAAGGCGCAUUUCACAUCGCGUCGCAUACCGCGCAUUACUGUGCAGUGCCGUACGGCUUCACAACGCACAGCAGGACCAGGACGUUUCCUAGUCGCUCAAAUCAGACAACAUUCGACAUUACGGGUCGAGUUUGCACGAGAUACAGCAGUCGGUUGCAAGCCGACACAAAACUGUGGGGGACACAUAUCCCGCACCAAGCAAGCAAGCCAGGCGAGUCCACCCAAGCUGCACAAGCACAGACGCCAGGCGAGUCCGCCUAAGCACGAGCACAAAUGCCAGGCGAAUCCGCCUAAGCACAAUCAUAAACGCCAAGCGAAUCCGCCUAAGCACAUUCAUAAACGCCAAGCGAAUCCGCCUAAGCACAAGCAUAAACGCCAGGUGAAUCCACCUAAGCACAAGCAUAAACGCCAGGCGAAUCCGCCUAAGCACAAUCAUAAAAGCCCGGUGAAUCCACCUAAGCACAAGACAUAACAUGUUCCUGAACAGGUCUGAGCAUGCAUCAAACCCCAGACUUCCCGCAGUCAGCUCAGAACAGGGGCACCUCACGCACAAGUGCAACCGGCUUCUCCUUCUCGUCGUGCUUCUUUUUCAGGCAGAACUUGGCGAUGUGGCCCUUCUUGCCGCAGUACUCGCACUCGUUUAGCUGCCAGCAGUCGGACAUAUCAUGCCCUACCUUCCCGCAGUGCACGCACGUCAGCUGCAACUUGCCCUUGCCCUUCUUCCCGCCGGCGAACAACGUUACGGGCGGCACCUCGCCCGCCGACCGGCUCUCAAGCCUCUUCUCCUUCUGCCCAAGCUUUGCCUCAAACUCAAUGAUCGAGAUAGUUGACAUCCUUUCGGUCAGCGCAUCAAGAACCCCCUCGUAGCUCUUCGGCAGGCCCAGGGACAAGUACUCCACUAGGUCCGAGUCCACCACAGUGAUUCCCAUCGACUUCAACGAUGACUGCAUCGUCCGACCGCGCGCUACAUACUCCUGGAUGGACUCAUCAACCUUCUUCUUGAUGUUAGAAAGAUUCCGCUUCACCUCGGCACCAUUGGAGGCAGCGUACUUCUUCGCGAUCUUCUCAACCUCCUCCCACGCCGACUUGGCAUCUUCACAAUCGUCCAAGUAGUGGCGUAGGGUUUUGGAGAUCGACUUACGAAUGACGGCAAGGGCUUGGUUCUUGGCCACAUGAUUUGCAUCAGCCAGAGCUCCCUCGUACUUAUGAUAGCCCAGCGUAUCCUUCACAUCACGGCUCCACGAGCUAUAAUUAGUGCCAUCAAACACCUCAUCGAUCGCGACCAGUGCCUUAGUGCUGUUCAUUUUCGCCACAGGAUCAGCCGACAGAGGAAAGCGUUUUAAUACACUAGCUUCACCUCACAACAAUGACUGAUGUAACAGGGAGCUCAACCAGCAUCAUAAGCCGGGGCUCAUAACCUGUUGUAAACGGCGAAUUGGACCAGACAUAAGGGACUGACAAGUAGGGAAACAGUAAACUGUUACAUUGGUAGAGUAUUAACUCUGUGACCAAAGAAGGUAUAAAAAAGAACUAAAACAGAACAGCCAUAGCAACUUACUUCAGCAGAGAUCAAGAGAUGAACUCGUACCACGACAACUACCUUAACAGUAUCGCCUCAGGUGUCGACAGGAUUGGACGAACUAGCGUAGAACACCUCAGUUUUACAACAGGUAGCCUGUUUAGGGUUCCCGGAGGUGGUGUGGCGCCUCUCAUGCAGCUCUCGCUUAGUUCGGUUCGCAGUCUUAGGGUUUUGCAGCAAGCCGUGUUUCAUAGAGCUUCUGAACCUGGCCGCCGCCAUUAAUCCGGUUCAUCCAUCACCUAGCCUAGCCUCUCAGAUUGUGAAGCUGGACCUACGACUGCCUCGUAUAUUUCCGCAUCUCCCCGUCGUCUCCUGUUCCCGUGAUGUUGCCUUUCCGGCUUCUUGCCCACGUCCUAUCGAUCUACCCGCGCAGCGAUUUUAGGUUAUAUCUCCCCCGCACAGCCUGCAGCAUCGUGCCGAAAGACAUAACAGAGUCGCUUCUUUACCAAGUUACUUAGCGGCUCUGGCAAGUGCCUCCAAACUUUCUUGUUAGAUUGUACGGCUGUACGAAUGUAUGCGGCUGCCAUAACAUGCAAUCCAGGUGCUAUAAUUUAGUAUCAUUAUAUUACUCCAAUUUCCUAUGCAAUUUAUUUCUAAGCACAAGGCUUAAAAGCUGCACUAUCCUCUGCGUCAUCCGUUCUAUUAGAGUGCUGCCUUACAGAUUGAUAGUUUCUGUGGCACUCCUUUGAAAUUAAAGGUAGAAGAUGC
rnacentral:lncRNA from 1 species